UACAUAGGGGGCAAGCGUUGUCCGGAAUCAUUGGGCGUAAAGCGCAUGUAGGCGGCCAUGUAAGUCGGAUGUGAAAUCCCGAAGCUCAACUUCGGAACUGCACCCGGUACUGCAUGGCUUGAGGAAGGUAGAGGAGAGUGGAAUUCCCGGAGUAGCGGUGGAAUGCGCAGAUAUCGGGAGGAACACCAGCGGCGAAGGCGGCUCUCUGGGCCUCUCUUGACGCUGAGAUGCGAAAGCGUGGGUAGCGAACAGG
rnacentral:misc_RNA from 1 species